GGCUGCGCGCGCAGAAACGUGAAGUUGGUCGUGACGUCACCACGCCAGCCCUACUGGGACAAAGGAAGAUGUCUGGUGUCAUCGCAAAGUAUCACUGCAAUUAUUGUCAAGAGGACAUCACGGGGGUCCGCGUCAAAUGUGCCGAGUGCCCGGACUUCGACCUUUGUUUACAGUGUUUCUCGUGUGGAGCAGAGAUGGGUGCGCACAAGAACAGGCACGGUUAUCAGCUAAUUGACUGUGGGAACUUUCCCAUCUUCCAAGCGCCGUGCAACUGGAAGGCCAAGGAGGAACUCGUGCUCUUGGAGGCCAUAGAGCAGUAUGGCUUCGGGAACUGGGAAGAUGUGUCUCAGUGUCUGCCUUCCAGGAGUGUCGAAGAGGUCCAGGAGCAUUACAAUACCUUGUACAUAAUGGGGAACAUAGGCAAAGCUACAUGGUCGGUGGAACCGUCAUUCCUGGUGAAGGACCAUACCUCGCCCGACAGCGGGCCCCUGUCGCCGAGCGCAAAGAGCAACAUCUCGGCGGGCGACUUGACGGCGGCGGAGCAGCAGGAACUCGGAUACAUGCCUUGCAGGGACGACUACGAAAGGGAGUUUGACAACGAGGCAGAGUCCCUGAUCAGCCAGCUGUCGGUGGGGCCGGAGGAGGACGAGCUGGAGGUGGCGCUGAAGCUGGCCCAGGUCGACAUGUACUCCCGGCGGCUGAGGGAGCGGCUCAGGCGCAAGGCCCUGGCCAGGGACUACCGCCUGCUCGAGCAGUUCUGCGGCCAGGGCAGGGCCAAGGGGGCCGCCACGCCCGGCACCACCCCGUCCCGCAAGAGGCCCUGCCCCGACGAGGACAGGGAGCAACAGGAUAAGAUGCGGGUGUUCUGCCAAUUCCAGUCGUCCACGGACCACGAGCAGCUUUUCGAGAACCUCGAACGAGAGAAAGAGCUGAAAGCAAGAAUCAAGGACCUGAUGAGGUAUCGUCGCAAUGGGAUCACGAAAUUGGACGAGUGCGCGGAGUUUGACCUGGCCAGGCAUCGGCGGGAAAAGCGGAAAGAGAACAAAAAGAAGUCUUUUGCCCUGAAUGCAGGUCCAAGGCAGCUCCGCUCACAGAAAGCCCUCCUCAAUGGCGUCAAGAAAACACGAAGAAAAAGGAAGCGCCGACCCUACGCUAAGCGAACAAGGAGGUGACGUCGGAGAGGGAUCCAAAGAGGCCACCGACAUCUCCACUAUGCUCAGCUACGAGCUGCUCUCCGAAAAGGAGAGGAAGCUCUGCCAGUCGAUGGGAAUCAGCCCCACCUACUACAUCACCUUUAAGA
rnacentral:misc_RNA from 1 species